GAAGGGCUUGAACAAUGCAAAUAUAAUUGGCUGCGCUAUGAAACAGGGCAACAGGUGAUUGGGUGCAUAUGCUUAUGUAGCUGAGUGAAAAAUAGGUAUAAAUUGUAUGAUGUAAUCUGCAUUUGGUGUGCAGGAUUUGAGACAGUUCAGUCUCCCUGUGCCAUAUCUGAAGCUUCAAAUAAACUCUCUGCUUCUCCACCCCCGUUGUGGUAAUUGGGGCGAUGCACACCGGGCAGCAAACCCCCCCUGUUGCUUGUCUCGGGCACUCUGUGCCGGCAACAGUUUUUGGCGCCCAACGUGGGCUUGAGGUUGCUAUUUAGCCUUGCCCGGACCCCUCCCGGCGACAACGGACGCCCAGCGCGCACCGGUGAGUUCAUCGGGGGCCUCGGAGGAGACGUGAUUUGAUCGACCCCGGAGGGCACAAUGGUGCAACGUGUUCAUAUAGUGGAGAAGUGACUGCGGGUGACGGUGUGGAACCGGUCCCUUGGAUAAGGUAUACCAAAGACUUACAGCCUCUCCCAUUGGAUGCUCCUGUCCAUUCCUUGCAGCCAGGCGACUCCGUGCUUGUUUGUACCUGGAAAGAUGAGCCUCUCCAAGAGAAGU